AAAAAUGGUCAUAUCUGGGUUUAAAAACCAAGAUGGCGAUGUCCAAAUUGACAACUCAAGGCUUCAACAUGGUAGUCCACAAAUCAAUGGGU